rnacentral:tRNA from 2 species
UGGGGUGUAGCCAAGACGGCAAGGCGGCGGACUUUGGAUCCGUGAUCGCUGGUUCGAAUCCAGCCACCCCAGCCA